rnacentral:rRNA from 1 species
CAACCUGCCCUUCAGAGGGGGACAACAGUUGGAAACGACUGCUAAUACCGCAUACGAUCUAACCUCGGCAUCGAGGAAAGAUGAAAGGUGGCCUCUAUUUAUAAGCUAUCACUGAAGGAGGGGAUUGCGUCUGAUUAGCUAGUUGGAGGGGUAACGGCCCACCAAGGCGAUGAUCGGUAGCCGGUCUGAGAGGAUGAACGGCCACAUUGGGACUGAGACACGGCCCAG